rnacentral:lncRNA from 1 species
UUUUUUUUUUUUUUUUUUUUACAAUUGAGUUUCUAAUGAAAACUUACUUCUUGAACACAUCUGCCUUCCAUUUCACUUGGUGCCUUUUUAGAGAGCUUAUAUUCUAUAUUAUAAAUAUAAAAUAUUUAUAUAUGACCUUAUAUUUUAGGUCAUAAGCGCUUUCUUAUAUCCUAAAAGGACAUUCAGUACAUGAGACCAGAUUGUUCUCACAGCUCAGAGGUACUACCAUCAAGAAAAACAUGGAGUUAUCUUGCAGUUGGAAAGAGAAACCCCAGGAAAGCUGUAUAGAAUUUGAAUGAGGGCACAAUGUUUGAUCUGACAAAUGAAUAUAUUUUGCAGUCCAAGUAAUUCCCUAGCAUUGUUAGCUUUUACAUUUAGGCUCUACUUAGAGUUAAACAAAGAACAAGGUCUCUGAGGAAGAAAUUAAUGCUGUGCCAUCUAUGGUGGAUAGAUGGGGGAUUCUGUAAGCAGGAUGGUCACAGACAUUUAUGUGGUUUGUGCAUUACACGGAGACUCCUGACCAAAGAAGUAGACUCAAGCUUAUGCUCUGCUUACAUGUCAUGUCCCUACUACCACUUUCCUGUACACCAAGUACUUUCUUUUCACCAAGUUAUCCAGACGCAGGGCUGUACCCAUCCAGAAAGAUAACCUUUUUUUUUUUUUUCCUAAUUUACAGAAAGGAGUGCUCAGUUCAGCAGCAGAUAUUCUAAUUUACAGAAAGGUGACUUAGGGGCUAGAAACAAGCCUUGAGAAGGAGCAAGCUCUACCUCUUUCAUAUAGAAUAUGAGCUAUUUUCUUAAUCAUAACUUUUUUCCUUCAUAUUUGAUGAGUCAUUAUGAAUUGAGUUAAUUUUAUGUAUUUAUGAAUAUUUGUAAAUAUUCAUACUACAAAAUGGUGGAUGUUAGCUUGGAUAGGAAAUUAGUGUUAUGAAAAGUCAUUUGUCUGUUUCUCUAAUUGAUAAAGAUCAUUUAAAAAAAGAUCAUUUUAUGCUUAUUCAAAGAGAGCAAAAUACUAAUAAUCUCAAUAUUAAUAUUUUUGAAAUUGUUAAGUAUUUCAUGUACCUAUGAUAUCUAAAAUGCUAAAAAAUAUUUUGUAUGGAUUAUUCUGCUGUUUUUAGACUCAGAAAUCGAAAUUUAGCCAAGGCUUAUCACUUUAUCAACAAUAAAUUUCUACCUGAAUCUCUGCAAUUUUUGUAGGAUUUUCUGGACUAUUCUUUUUGAUUACAAUGUUCAUAUGCAUUACUCUGUGGCUAUUUUACUUUUAAUUAGGUUUGUUUGAAAAAGCUAAUUACAUGCUAUUCAUUUUCUUUCACUUACAAAUUUAAUCACAACAGAUUCUCAGUGAACCAAGAGGCAAAUAUUCUGUUAAUAAACAUAUCAUAAAACAUAAAAGUAAGGCUUUAGUAGUAUAUUUUCCAAUGUGCUGUCAGAUUUAUAUAUAUUCUGUUAUUUUUAACCCUUGUAUAUAAUUUAUAAAUAUUUUUUGCUCAUAUUCUAUAAAAUAUAAUGAACAUUCAUGUUGAGCAAGCAUGUAUAUUCCAUAUGGUUUCCUGUUAGAUUCAUUUUGUUGCAUUGAGAGAUUAAAGCACUAAAAGAUGAUUAUUGCUGUAUAGAUAAUAAAAAGGACAUCAGCCAUCAUCGUAAUAUCCAUCAACACAAUAGCACUUUGAGCUUCUAUAAAUAUGUGGUGCCCUGCUGGCAUUCCAUAAACUAAAUUAUACAACCUAGUCCCCAGCAGUCUAUAAACUUAUGAUCAUCGACAAAAACAUGCCCUUAUAACCAACAAACAAACAUGAAAAAAGAUAAACUUUUAGAACAUACAUAAAUACCAAUAAUGAUCACCACUAAAAAAAUAUGUUUGGUAGGGUAGAAUUAUUUAUUAUGCUGGAAUUUUAAAGAAAUAAAACCAAAAGCUAAUGCCAUUCUAUUUUUAUGAAUUCCUUAAUUAACUUUAUGAAAUCCUUAAUUAACUUGACUGGCCAUUUCAGGAUGAGGAAGGAAAGAAUAUUCUGGUCACAUAAAUGAUAUAAAGUGCUUUACAUACCGUCUGAUGAUCAAAUAAAACCUGCACCUCAACAAAGCUUUCAAGAAUUCUUUUUUUUUCCAUUUACCUCUUGCAAUUGAGAGAACAAAAGCGUACACUCCUGCAUGAGGAAUAGCUGCCUUAUUUGGCUUGUCAGGCACUUUCAAAGUGGCUGAAUACUUAGAAAUGUAAAUAAUGAACACUUCUUGCAAACCUCAGGUAUCUUGAUAUGCGGGUGCUUUUUGUUGACUAAUGCAGUUCUGCAUGUGAAAAUGAGUAUUCAAAAAUCAUCAAACAAUCGAGCAUUGUUGUUUUAAGAAGAAAACGUUCCAUAUUCUUUAGAUUUAUCAGUAGGCUUCAUUUAUUAAGAUUUAUGAGCUAUACUUAAUGUCAAAGAGGAUGUAAGCGUUCAUAUUUUAUAAUUACAUCAACUCUUUCUUGUCAGAGAAACCAGGUAAUGUGUAUAUUAGAAUAUGUUUUUAGCUGACACACCCAUAGGAUAGUAGAGAGUUAGGUGGGUUUCCUCUCUACUCCCUACUCCAAACUGACCUAAGCUUAUGUUUGUAGAAUAAAGUCCUUUAGUAGACAACUUUUUACAAAAUAUGAUUUUUUAUAAACAAUAGACUAGAAUUCCUACCUUCAGAGAUUGGGGGAAAAUUAAUUGAGCAUAUAAAUGGAAUUGAUCAUCUAGUCUGUGUACUUCAUAAAUCCUCAAAAAAUAUUAAUCUUUUUGUUCUCAUAUUCUUUUUUCAAACCAAUUAAUUCAAUCAUAUUAAUAAUCAAGUUUUUUAGAACUCAGAAAAAAAGAAUGUUAGAAAUCAUCUACAUAUUAUUACAUUAUUACACAAAGGUCAAUUUUAUUUAAAAAAUAUUUUUCCUAGUUAAAUUUGUUGAGUUUUCACUGUUUUCUAGAACAGAAGCUCUAUAACUCACAUUAUUCAAAUAAAAUUCAUAUAAAUUAAAAUGAAAUUUUAAGGGGAAAUUGAAUGGUGUAUAGUUUUACGUUAAUAACAGACAUAUGUUCUGGUACCCAAACCAAAAGAUUCUCUGCCUAAGAAAGAUAAAAUAAAGUCCCCUCUGUAAUCUCAUUCAUAUGCAAAAUAAUAAGAGCAAAACACAGAGACAGCAGGCAACAAAACAAUAAUCAGCCACACCGAGAAAAUAGAGGGAGAUGAGAUCCAUAGGUUGUAAAGACCUUGAAUACUAUGUUGGAGGAAAACACUUCCUUGUGAACUUGAUCCACAAAAGAAGUUUUAGAGAAAAUGAACUUUUUUUCUCAGUUUUUAGCAAACAUUUAGUCUAAGGAAGUGAUACAAAUGAGAAUGGUUUGGGAUAAAGGCAGCACAAGUUUUAUAAAAGAAUAUCCUUAACAAAAAAAAAAAAAAAAAAAAAGAAUAUCCUUAGAAUAAGAAUGAGUAAAAGGAGACCAACCCGAAAUACAAAAGGCACUGUCUAGCUAAGUGUUGUUAGACAUCUAAGAUGAAGAAAUUUGAGAAUUUGUAUAAUAAUUUUAUUUAACUCUCUGCUUUUUUAGAUAUUAUUACCCCCAAAAAGAUUCAAAUAGAUAGGAUUUGUCAUUUUCAUUUAUUUAUUUAGAAAUAUUUAUGUCAAGUAAUUAUUCUAAGCAUAAUUAAAUAGAGUAAGAAAUUAUUACAGCUCAGAUUAGGGCUCAUAGAACAAAGGUAAGCAAUUUCAAUAAAAGGAACCUAUACAGUUACCUAAAAGUCUAAAAGGCCAUGGGAAAUAUAAUUAUGAAUGAUAAGUAAACUAUCCUCUAUAAACUAAGUUUGUAUAGUCUACAGGGGAGAUGAAAUAUGUGCUUAAGAAGUAAAACAGGAGGUUGAAAUUAUGUUUUUAAUGUAAAGAUAAACUGCUGAUUCAGCUAUAACAUUUGUUUUGAAAAUGUGGGCUUAUUCCAACAUGAUUGAUACAUUAGGGAUGAUUUGAGCUUAAUGCAAAUUUCAUGUUUGCUUAUGUGUAAUUUGCUCAGGUGAAUGCAGAAAACUGCACCUAGUUUGUGAAUCAUGAUGUGGGAAGAUACAAAAUGCACAGAACACCCACAGGCACCCCUCAGACAUCUGCGAACCACUUCGGUUCCCAGCCUGUUUCAUAAAACUCUCCAGCCACUUCACACCCCUCCAAAGCCCAGUCCGUUCUGGUCAUUCUCAAGAUAAAGUGCCAUUCUUGUAUUUUUCUAGCACGUAAUCAUCUAGCAUUUGUAAAAUGGUUCUACCAUAUAUAUUACACUCUUAUCUUUCAUUGUGUCUGUAUUACUCCGGAUGUUUUUGAGUAUUUUGCCCAACCUUACUUUUCCCAUACGUCCUAUGGAUCUGUAGGAGGGUUUCGCAUAGUGCAGUGCUACCUAGCAAUUCAUAUGGCACCUUAAAAUAGGUCAGAAGAAAUAGUAUUGUCAUAGAGUCAGAAAUAUUUACAAUGUUGUAUUUUUGCAAAACUUGAAAAAUAUUAUAGAGAAAUAAAAAAAAAAGGAAAGGGUUUUUCAACCCUCCGGUGACAGCAGGAAAACAAAAGUCACAGAGAGAAAGCAUGGAGCAUCCACGUUGAAAAACAAGGAAAUAAGCUGGUUUGGGCUAAAGGUUAUAGAAAUUGAAAAAGAAAUAAGGAUUUAUCCUUAGUGAAAAUAUCUUGAGAAGAUGCACGGUAUCUUAAUUACCACAUUAAAAUGCACUUAUUUUUUUUUCUCAAAACGUGUAAAGCAAAGAAGAUGAAAGAAUUUCCUUUCUGUGUCAUAGAGAAUAAUUUAAAUAGGUCAAACUAAGGAUUAUUUCAUCCUUUAGGAUCUCAAACAUUAUGAAGUUUACUGUAGAAUUUUGUUUGCUAGAAACUUAAAUAUACUGCAGAAAGAUAACCUAAGAUUGUAUUUCCCUAAAGGACUGUUUUGUAAUUUCUAAAGGAACUGAAGCAUUCUCAAGUUAUUUAACAUAGGGUUAGUAUGAUGAAACCUUUUUUACAUAAGGAUAGCCAUUCAUUCUCAAAUUCAGAGAGUACCUUUACUUCCGUACAUUUCUAUUUCUGCCAGGUCCUCUUGAACAAUAACAUUAGUGGUUGCCACAUUUUAAUCAUGUCUGACAGUGCAGAAGCUCCUUUUGGUUAGUUUCCUGGCCUUUAAUUAAUGGUAUUUCUUUACUUUACUCACUCCUUUUCAAUCUUCAUUCCUUGGAAAGAAGAUCAUUUCAAGUAGCAAGAACAGGAUGCUAAAACAGGUUGGGGGGAGGAGGGGCAAGACGGCGGAAGAGUAGGGUCCCCAGGUCACCUGUCCCCACCAAAUUACCUAGAUAACCUUCAAAUCAUCCUGAAAAUCUAUGAAUUCGGCCUGAGAUUUAAAGAGAGAAC